rnacentral:rRNA from 1 species
CCCUUAGAUGUUCUGGGCUGCACGCGCGCUACACUGAUGCGCUCAACGAGUUUAUGACCUUGCCCGGAAGGGUUGGGUAAUCUUCUUAAAACGCAUCGUGAUGGGGAUAGAUUAUUGCAAUUAUUAAUCUUCAACGAGGAAUUCCUAGUAAGCGCGAGUCAUCAGCUCGUGCUGAUUACGUCCCUGCCCUUUGUACACACCGCCCGUCGCUCCUACCGAUUGAACGGUUUAGUGAGGGCCUCGGAUUGGUCUCGGCCCGCUCUUUACCGGGCGGCGCCGUUGGUCGAGAAGACGCUCGAACUUGAUCGUUUAGAGGAAGUAAAAGUCGUAACA